UUCAGACAGAGAAGAUAUCGGUCAAAUAACCUGGUUUUGAUCGCAAGUGAACUACUGAAACUCCAAGCAACCGGUCUAUCUCAUCAUGCUGAUAAGGCACAGUGGAAAGGCAGGGGAGAUGCUUACAAGACUGUUUUCAGCUCUACUCAGACUUGGGAGUUAAUAAGAGAGGUGAGUCCGACAGUAACAUGGAGCAAAGGGAUUUGGUUUACACUAGCUACACCUAAAUACUCUGUGGUUGCGUGGAUUGCUGUCCAUAAUAGAUUGGCAACAGGAGACAGGAUUCAAAUCUGGAACCCACUUGCAGAUGCAACUUGCACUCUCUGCAAACUUCAGAAUGAGACAAGAAAUCACUUGUUCUUCACAUGCUCCUAUUCUAUGCUAAUAUGGAGGACGCUCACAAUGAAGUUGAUGGGGAACCGAUACUCCAGUAACUGGGAUGAUACUUUACAUAGUCUUACGGACACAACAUUGGACUGCAAUACUCUGCUCUUGCUACGGUCCGCUUUCCAGGCUGCUAUCCACUCAAUAUGGAGAGAGAAACGCUCGUCGUCACGGUGAGCCUUCUACAGAUCAGUUACUGCUAGCAAGGUACAUCGACAAACACAUCCGGAGCCGUAUUGAUUCCAUGCGUGGGAAACUACACAAGAAAUAUGACAAGGCUAUGCAGCUAUGGUUUGCAUCAAGAUGAUUCUUCUCUAGCAAAGUAGAAUAUUAGGCUUACAAAAACUCAAAAACAGCUGCAUUCAUUGUAAAAACGUUUUUUUUUGUUUUGAUUCCAAUUUAACAUUCAUUCAAAAAAAAAAAGACAAAGAUCCCUGUGAAUGCAGAUGCUUCUUGCCCUCCUGGAUGAAGCCAAUACUGGUUUAACCAUCGGAGAUGGAGGUGAUGACUCAGAGUCUGAAGAUAACAAAUACAGUAGAAAUAGCCGAUCCUCUGCUCUUGAGCUUCUCAAGGAUGAAAACGAUGGCCUUAGUUAAAAUUCAGGGGCUAUGUGGCUGAGCUUUUAGUCAAUUUCAUGUUGCACGAAAGACACAGUACAUUCCCCUGCACUAAAUUCAGCGUUACAGGCUGCUGCAAGUGGUCCUCGGUCAGAGAGGAUGAAGCAGACACUUAAGAUAGCUCUUCGGCUUCUUGAUGUCUACGUUAGUGUUACGUUGCGAGAUGCAAAUGACUGUAAGAUUGUUUACAGCCUUCCUAGUGUUCUUAAGCUGCUAAAAUAGGAUAAGUCAGUCACCAACGCAGUUCGACCUUUAACCACUGUUGAGUCUGUUCAUGCUUAAAUUUCUUUUUUUCAAUGUUUAUCUUUUGGCAGCUCUGAUAUGUGCAUUAAUCCCUCUACUCAUGAGAAGAAACUCUACAAUGUUUCAGGAUAAGAACUUUUCUCAUGAGGUAACAUGCAGCUUUUGUUUUGUAUAAUAUGAUCUCCUUUUCUAAAUUUUUGUUUUGCGUAGGAUUAGGAGUGGCAGACCCACUUGAUGACUUAUGGGGUCAGUCGACACCACAAAAAUUUAAUUUGUUGGCUAUGAUCAUUUGUGGUGUAGUUGGUUUGAUACUGCAGUAGUGAACCCACAAAAGUGGGGUUUGGGUGUCUUCAGUGACAUCUUAGAACUUUUUUGACCCCACAUAAUUUUUUUCUUGGGACAUGCUACAUGACAAUGUCUCUUAAUAAUCUCCUCUGGAUCUGAAUGGAUCUUCUAUUGAUAUUCAACUGUUUUCAGAUAUCCCAAGGCUAUUUUGACCUUUUGGUGUAUGGACUGCGUACCUAUAUUACCGCCAUAUUGAGCCUUAUCUAACAGAGAUACGGUAUGUUUAUGCAGAUUCGUUGGAGGGCUACUGGAGUUCUUGCUAGCAGCAUUUCAGAGGUCUCCGAAUUUCAUUCCGCUGUUGAAACUAAUGUCUUUGUUUUGUUUCCAUUACUUGGUUUGUGCUGGUAUCAGCAUUAUAAUUUUGAAUAAGAAGAUUUGACGCUGCAUUGGUUGAUAUGCUGAGUCAAAAAUCAGUCUAUCUAUCUUCAUGAUAGAAGCCUAUAAUUGACACGCCUGGAGAAGCUAGCGAUGACCCUGCUAAGAGAGCUAGCUUUACAGCUAUGUUGGACAACUGGAGAGUAUGGUGGUGAGGGAGAAUCAUAAAAGGAUGCUGCUCGCGAGCUCUUUGAAAGCUUAGAGUUGAUUUCUAUAUGAGAAUCUCUCACUCAUCAAGGUAUUAUUAACUUCUUUUGUUACUUAUCACCCUGCCUUUCUCGGCAAGAAAACAAAAAUUGGUACUUACAACAACACAUCUCAUUGCACAUUCUAACUGAACAAGGAGGUUAAAGAGUUAUUCUAUUAAUCUACUCUCUUAACACUUAAUUGAUUCAACUUGACUUAGAUGAUAAUCUUGUGACCAAAAAAAAGAUUUAGAUGAUGAUGUUGCUUGCAAGAGAUUAUCCAUAUUUGGACUUAUCUCUCCCGGUUAGACCCGGUUUCGUGUAUACAACUGCAGAUACAUGUACCAAAAGAUGUAGGUAGAGUUAUUUGUGAGGGAGCAUAGAGGUGAAAAACUGGUAGAGAGGGGAGAAAGAUUGCAUACAAAGAAAGUAAAGAUGGGAAUAUGAUUUGAUGUAAAGCCUGUGAGGACGUUUCCUUGUGACAGACACGACGCGUCUAUAUCCGGUCCAUUCGUUUCUUCUUUGGACAUUGAUGGAUGGAUGUGAUUGCUUCUUAUUGAUUUGAUGCAUCCAUAUGGUCUUCCUUUUUCUUUUACGCGUCUUUUUUUCUUGUUCCUUGUAAUAAAGCCUUAACGCGUAUUGAAUUUUUCGUAACAAGAAUCUUAUUCACA